rnacentral:misc_RNA from 1 species
UAAUGAAGUAUGUGACUAAAACGUAAUAUAAUAAUGUGCGUCACUUCCGGUUGUCGAGAUACUCUUUGUUGGGAUUGAUGAAAACAUUGGCACACUUGCACAAUCUUCCAAAAAGAAUAGUCAUCUAAACCUGUCAACCGCAAUGUCAACAGACAUGAAGAGCCAGAACUCGGAGGAGUCGGACUACAGCGACCAGUCUGAUGGCAUGGAGGACGACGAUGAUGAGGAUGAGUAUCAGGAUCUCCAUGAUUAUUAUAACGAAACAGACGACCUUGACCUUGAGAAGCCAAAGAAAUGUGACGACCCCGAGUACUUUGAGUACGAGCUGCUCCAGAUGGAAGACGUGGAUAGGCUACUGAACGAGGAAAUAGAAGCACUAUGUACCCCUCUAAAGAUUACACCAUCACUUGCCAAAAUGCUGCUACUAACCCACGACUGGAGGAGAGAGUACAUCCUGGACGGACAUCAAAAGGAUCCUGCUCAACUUCUUGUCGACUCUAAAAUCAGGAGUUCCAAAAAAUACGAUGAGAUGAUGUCAGGCAGCUCCCAUGUCUGUCGUGUGUGUGUGUGCCCGAGUCCUAAGGAGAACUUCCACGCCCUCAACUGUGGCCACGCCUUCUGUGCUGAUUGUUGGGACAUGCAUUUCCAAGUCCAGAUAAAACAGGGAGUCACUAUAGGUAUCGAGUGCAUGGGCAAGGACUGCCCUGUGCUGGUCCCAGAGGACUUCCUGUGCAGUAUACUUAGUGAUACAACUCUCAGGGACAAAUAUUCCAUGCUCUCCUUCAAUGAUCUCGUCAAGAACCACCCGCAAUUGAGGUUCUGCCCAGGUGCUAACUGUUCGGUGAUUGUUCGUGCCAAGGAGUCCCUUGCUAAGAAGGUGCUGUGUUCCCAGUGUAACAACUCCUUCUGUUUCCGCUGUGGUAACGAGUACCAUGCCCCCACCGACUGUGAAACAAUCAAGCGCUGGCUCACAAAGUGUGCAGACGACUCUGAGACAGCCAACUACAUCAGCGCCCACACAAAAGAUUGUCCAAAGUGCCAUGUAUGCAUAGAGAAAAAUGGAGGAUGCAACCAUAUGCAAUGUUCCAAAUGCAAGUAUGACUUCUGCUGGAUGUGUCUUGGAGACUGGAAGGCCCAUGGGAGUGAGUACUACGAGUGCAGUCGUUACAAGGAGAACCCCAACAUUGCCAACGAGUCUGUGCUGGUGCAGGCCCGGGAGGCGCUGAAGAAAUAUCUGUUCUACUAUGAGCGGUGGGAGAAUCAUGCCAAGAGUCUGAAGCUGGAGGAGCAGACGUUGAUGAAGAUCCGAUCUCGCAUCCAGGACAAAGUGAUGACGAACGAGGGCACGUGGAUAGAUUGGCAGUACCUCCUUGAUGCAGCCACGCUGCUAAAGAAGUGCCGAUACACUCUGCAGUACACGUACCCCUACGCAUACUACAUGGACAAGGGAGGACGCAAGCAGCUGUUUGAGUACCAGCAGGCACAGCUGGAGGCGGAGGUGGAAAAUCUUUCCUGGAAGGUGGAGAGAGCUGAGAUUACAGAUAGAGGGGACCUAGAAAACCAGAUGGAUAUCGCAGAGAAGAGGAGGCUGACCUUGCUAAAGGAUUUCCUUCAAGUUGCUUAACAAGGGCUACAAGUUGUUUUAUGUUAUUUAAGUCACCUGUAAAUCAUAAUCACUGAAUUGUCAAGCUGUUCAUGAAAGUUGUCCUCAUCUUCCUCACACAAAUAUCAGAAAAGCGUUAGAAAGUACUGUCAUACACAAAAUCAAAAUAAAUCCCAGAUUUUCCCCAGGCUGCUUAGUCACCUUCAGGCUAUGGUCACGGCUUUCAUUUAUUGGUGUAAUGACUUCGAGCUUCCUCUCACGAAAAUACUAUCACUGCCAGGAUCUCGCUGUCAUAUAGAAUGCAAUUUGCAAAACUGGACUUCCAAAAAAGAUGGAUCCUCUUUAAAGGUGGUUGUACUUCAAGGCUUCUGUGUUAACAAGCCGUCUGUAUUAUGAGGUGUCUGCAUUACAAGGUGUCUGGAUCACAAAAUAUCUGUAUUACAAGGUGCCAGUUUUACACACUGCCGCUUUUAUGUGUGGUCUGUAUUACGUGGUGUUAGUGUUAGAAACUGCCUGUAUAACGACAUAUCUGCAUUACAAGGUGCCUGCAUUAUUGACUUUCUGUAUAACAUGGGGUCUGCAUUACAAGGUGCCAGUGUUACAGACUGCAUGGGGUUUGUAUUACUAGGUGUCUGCAUUACAAGGUGCCAGUGUUACAGACUGCAUGGGGUUUGUAUUACUAGGUGUCUGCAUUACAAGCUGCCAGUGUUACAGACUGCAUGGGGUUUGUAUUGCUAGGUGUCUGCAUUACAAGGUGUAGAUAUUUGUGGUGGAAGAUGAGGGUUGUUGUUAGUUUUGUGUGGAACGAAGCAGUGUAAAUACUGAUGUAAGAUAUUGUGUUUCUGUAUCCAACAUGCUGCAUGGAUGUGCUGAAUCCAGUACUGAUGGAUGUUUGACUACUUUGUUAUAUCAGGGAUGCAGAUGUUUACUUUAUAACCUCAGAUGUGACCUGGUCUUAAGGGGAGACUUUCCCCACAUUCUGCCAACAUGGUUACUUUAUAACCUCAAUUACAGUAUAUGCUUGUCUUAAAGGGAGACUCCCUCACAUUUUUCUUAGAUUUUAUGACCUCAGUUACAGUAUAAACUUAUUAUAAAGGGAGACUUCCCUACGUUCUUUGAAAUCUUUAUGACCUCAAUUACUGUACAGACUUGUCUUAAAGGGAGUCUCCCCUUACAUUCUUCCCAGGUUUUAUAACCUCAGUUAAAGUAUGGAUGCAUCUUAAAGGGAGACUUCUCCACAUUCUUCCAAAACUUAUAACCUCAAUUACUGUACAGACUUGUCUUAAAGGGAGACUUCCCCACUUUCUGCCCAGAUGUUUACUUGAUGACCUCAAUUACAAUAUGUUCUUGUCUUAAAGGGAGACUCACCCACAUGCUGCCUCAGUUACCAUGGUUACAUUAUAGAUUAGUCUUAAAGAGAUACUGACACCUGCACCUGUAGCCUGCAUCGGAUGAGCCCCACGUUGCUGUAAACACAAAUACUCAGCUUUCCAGGGUGAAGGAUUGUCUCCCUUUCAGCUGAUUAGUAUGGUAUUAGCUAUGGUGAAACAUGUUAUGCUACACAGGAAUAUUCCAUUGUCCGCAGAUACCAUUGUCUGACCAUGAGUGGUUAUGGGGUGUGUUUUCUAGACUUGUUAAUUCCUUGUAGGUAUUUAUCAUUCAAACAAAAACUUUGUAAUAUACUACUUAAGAGAAAUUAAAGAACAUCCAAUUCUUUCUUAUUCCUAUAGUUGAUCUGUCAUGGCAUGUUCGGGUGUUCUUUAACUGCUUUUGAGUAGAAAAAGUUUAAGAACUCCAGAUUCUUUCAUUUUACUGUAGUUAAUUGGGGGCAGUCGUCUAAUGCGCGCCAGAAACCUAUGAUUGUGGGUUCGAAUCCUGGUUAGCCCAGAUUAUGUUCCUAGGUUUGUCAGCACAUGGGUUUCACCACAGAAGUGGUAAAUGUCUGAGAGCUGCAUCACUUUGGGCUUUCCUCCCACAUUAAGCUGACACGCCGUGAUAUAACUUGAAUACUGUUAAAAGCUCACUCACUCACUCACUACUGUAGUUGAUCUGUUAUGGUAGGACAGGGAUUAUUUCAUAUAUUAGAAAGCUAACCUGUCAUGGCAUGACAGAUAAACUUGUUUAAUAUGAAAGAAUUGGGCUUUCUUUAAUUUCUUUUGAGUAAUAUAGAUAAACCUAGGCCCUUUUUUAGUUAUCCAAUAUUAAUUGCAGGUGAACCUAAGACGUUAGAUGUGUGGUGUUUUGUUUUGUCGACAAGGCGCAGUGAGCACCACAGGUCAUACUUCCAGUACCACACACACUCCUGACACACAGUUAUAUGAAGGGCCGACCGUUGGAUAUUCUGGGAGGUGCUUUGGAUUUAGUAUGGAGACUAGAUAUUCUGGGAGGUGCUUGGGAUUUAGUAUGGAGACUAGAUAUUUUUUCACCUGCAGCUGCAAAACCAGAUAUAUUUUUUGUAAUUAAACUUUUAAGCCUGAAUAUGUUUAUAAGAAUA